rnacentral:lncRNA from 12 species
UUUUUGUUUUCCUCUGCUACCUCUCUAUUUCCCUCCUUUGAAUGAAAAGAAAAAAUUGCCUCAGGAAGAGGAGAGCGGCUUCAUUUACAUAGAGAUCUACAACUGAAAAGCAUAUUCAGGAGAGGAACACCUCUGUUUGCUUUAGCAGCAGCUCCUAGCUCUUCUCAGGUAGCACGUGCAUUGGUCUAGUGAUAAAUCUGUCCAGCACACAGAGUAAACAACUGCUUGCCUCCAGUUGGAUUUUCAAUUACAUCAGGUAUGUAAUCUGAUGUCUGGGAGCCCCAGGCUGCCGAGGACAGUGUCGUCU